AAGUCGUAACAAGGUUUCCGUAGGUGAACCUGCGGAAGGAUCAUUAAUGAAUUCGAAUCGGUCGUCUGUGCUGGUGGCAACACAUGUGCACGUUGAUCGUCAUUCCAUUCUCCUUUCAAUCGUCCAAGUGUGUGUCUGGUCGACCUCGGUCGAAGAGUUGUGGCCCUCGGGCUUGAUUCGUUCCAGAUGCGCCUUGGUUAUCUCACCCACUCUGGGUAUUCGAAACAAAGAACAUUUUGUAUAAACUAUACAACUUUCAACAACGGAUCUCUUGGCUCUC
rnacentral:misc_RNA from 1 species